AAGAACUAGAAAGAUCGAUUUUUCGUUCUAAGGAGUCGGGAUCCCCGCGGUUGAGGGCAUCCUGCAGAGCUGGAACUACCUAGCUGAAAGGCCCUGGGAGGAUAUAGUCUUGAACAGAAAUGAUGAGGCAGUUGUCAACGAACUAAAGGGUCAAGCUAACACUUGCUGAUAUCUGUGCUCCGAUGUCAUUGGGGUUGAACUUAAAUGGU
rnacentral:misc_RNA from 1 species